rnacentral:rRNA from 1 species
AACGAACGCUGGCGGCAGGCUUAACACAUGCAAGUCGAGCGCCCCGCAAGGGGAGCGGCAGACGGGUGAGUAACGCGUGGGAAUCUACCCAUCUCUACGGAAUAACGCAUGGAAACGUGUGCUAAUACCGUAUACGUCCUUCGGGAGAAAGAUUUAUCGGGGAUGGAUGAGCCCGCGUUGGAUUAGCUAGUUGGUGGGGUAAAGGCCUACCAAGGCGACGAUCCAUAGCUGGUCUGUGAGGAUGAUCAGCCACACUGGGACUGAGACACGGCCCAGACUCCUACGGGAGGCAGCAGUGGGGAAUAUUGGACAAUGGGCGCAAGCCUGAUCCAGCCAUGCCGCGUGAGUGAUGAAGGCCCUAGGGUUGUAAAGCUCUUUCACCGGUGAAGAUAAUGACGGUAACCGGAGAAGAAGCCCCGGCUAACUUCGUGCCAGCCGCCGCGGUAAAAC